rnacentral:lncRNA from 1 species
UUUGAAACUCAAUACCGUCAGCAACGACAUUAUACAAAAAUAAUACUCUAGCAAAUAGUACCUUGUUAAUAUCGCUAUGGAAGUUGAUCAGACAGUACUGUAUGACAUGAUGACCAUUCGGGUCAACCGCCAGUGUGGCUGCACCGCGAUAUAGAGCUUUCACUACCAACCUAACCUGAUUCGGGUUCAAACUUUCCAACAAUGUCUGCAUUGCUCUAGUCCUAUCAAAUCACCAACAAAACAUAAACCAUCAAACAAUAUCCAACCAACCAAACAAGUAUAAUCCCACUCGUAACAGAGCUAUUAGUACGGUCUAGAAUAAAUUUCAAAAAAAAAAAAAAUCACAUACCCAUGUGGAUUCAUACACACAAGAAUGAUAUCCGUAGGCGUUUCAAUCAGCGAUAAAACCAACCGCAAUUUCUGCCCAUCAUUACACAUAGUAACAAGCUUUUGAACCAAAUAAUUCCCAAACUGAUCUUUCAUCAAAUCAGCAACAAAACUAACCACCUCACACAACACAACUUCCACUUCUUCCAUUGUUGAUCUUUCCAACAUUGCUUGCAAUAUUCUACACCCAUUUUGAUCUUUAGCCAUUUUACAAAUUCCCCCCCUCAAAGACCACACACUCAAUAAACCAACAUUUUGGUUAUUAGUAUUAUUAUUAUUAUUAUAAAAACUACUACUACUACAACAAACAUUCUGUUUCUCAUAAUCAUCAAUUUUAAAUUGUGGGUGUGAAUAAAAUACAUUCUUGGACUCCAAGCAACCCAUCCGGUCAAAGUCAAACCCAUAGUCAAAUCCAAAGUCAAACCCAGAAGAAAAAAGAUUCUGCUGCUCAUGAUCAUAAUUCAAGAACCUGUUAAACCCCAAAUUAGAGUGACCCAAACCCUCACCGGCGCAGGAGUAACCGCUGGGAAUGCUCCGGCGACCCUCCGGCGAGAGAUUCAGCAUCGAAAACAUCUCGGGUAAGCUCCGAUCGACGUCGAUCGGGGCGAAAACUGAUUGAAACGGACACCCAUUUGCAAGAAACUUGUGGGUUCUUCUUGGAUGAUCCAUUGGAUCAAAAAAGAUGAAAACUUUAGGGUUUUAAGAGGGUUUUGGACAGAUUAAACUUGUGGGUAUUUGAUAUUUUGAUGAAUGGGGAGAGAAAAGGGGGAUUGCAUGCAAAUAUGGAAAGAUUUGUUGAUUCGUGAAGAAGAAGUGUGGCCAAUGAGAGGGCGUCUGAUAGUAAAAACUGCAACAUGCCGUUAAAGAGUGUAGUGGUGCCGUUAGCAUGUGUGUCUAGUGUCUACACCAUUUCAUAGUGUGGGCCCACUAAUUGAAUUUGACACAAAUGGUUUUGUAUGUUGUUACAUGUAAAUGUGUAGGGAAGUUACAUAGAAAGUUCGGUUUUUGGUCACUUGCACUAUACUAGGAAUGGGUUUUUAAUGUAUUGGAACACAAUAGUAAAUAGGAGUGAAUGAGGUAAUAAGUAUGAGU